rnacentral:rRNA from 1 species
CCUACGAGAGGCAGCAGUGGGGAAUAUUGCACAAUGGGCGAAAGCCUGAUGCAGCAACGCCGCGUGAAGGAAGACGGUUUUCGGAUUGUAAACUUCUGUUCUUAGGGAAGAAUAAUGACGGUAACUAAGGAGCAAGCCACGGCUAACUACGUGCCAGCAGCCGCGGUAAUACGUAGGUGGCAAGCGUUUUCCGGAAUUACUGGGUGUAAAGGGAGCGUAGGCGGGAAGCCAAGUCAGCUGUGAAAACUACGGGCUUAACCUGUAGACUGCAGCUGAAACUGGUCUUCUUGAGUGAAGUAGAGGUUGGCGGAAUUCGGGGUGUAGCGGUGAAAUGCGUAGAUAUUCGGAGGAACACCGGUGGCGAAGGCGGCCAACUGGGCUUUAACUGACGCUGAGGCUCGAAAGUGUGGGGAGCAAACAGGAUUAGAUACCCGUGUAGUC